rnacentral:rRNA from 1 species
CCUACGGGUGGCAGCAGUGGGGAAUAUUGCACAAUGGGGGAAACCCUGAUGCAGCAACGCCGCGUGAGUGAAGAAGUAUUUCGGUAUGUAAAGCUCUAUCAGCAGGGAAGAAAAUGACAGUACCUGACUAAGAAGCCCCGGCUAACUACGUGCCAGCAGCCGCGGUAAUACGUAGGGGGCAAGCGUUAUCCGGAUUUACUGGGUGUAAAGGGAGCGUAGACGGCUGCGCAAGUCAGAAGGGAAAGCCCGGGGCGCAACCGCGGGACUGCUUUUGAAACUGUGUAGCUUGAGUGCAGGAGAGGUAAGUGGAAUUCGUAGUGUAGCGGUGAAAUGCGUAGAUAUGAGGAGGAACCCCGGUGGCGAAGGCGGCUUACUGGAGUGGAACUGACGUUGAGGCUCGAAAGCGUGGGGAGCAAACAGGAUUAGAUACCCGAGUAGUC